rnacentral:lncRNA from 1 species
UGAAGUUACGGUGUACAUUUGGUUGAAGAGCCAUUAGAAUGGUUUCGAUGAAGUUCGGUAAGGUUCGGGAGCAUUCGGGCGUUUCGGUACGCGUAGGCGCGGAAACAGAACCCGAAAGGCUAUGUUGGUCCGUGGACUAAAUCCGGCGUUAGUGUGAAUGAAAAGAUGAUGAAAACAUGUUUGGAGAGUCUCGGUUCGAUUUGAAAUGAAUCGGAGGUCAAACGAGCGAAAACGAGUGAAAACGGACGAAGCUGAAAUUUGGCUAAGUCUGCGCCGGAGGUCCCUCUGGGACCGGU